CGCAAGCCUGACGCAGCAACGCCGCGUGCAUGACGACGCCUUUCGAGGUGUAAAUGCUGUCGACCGGGACGAAGGCGCGAGGGUGAACAGCGAUCGCGCAUGACGGUACCGGUGGAGGAAGCCCCGGCUAACUCCGUGCCAGCAGCCGCGGUAAGACGGAGGGGGCGAGCGUUGUUCGGAAUUACUGGGCGUAAAGCGCGCGUAGGCGGUGCCGCAAGUGGUGCGUGAAAGCCCUCGGCUUAACCGGGGACGGGCGUGCCAAACUGUGGGACUGGAGUGCCGGAGGGGGAGGCGGAAUUCCUGGUGGAGCGGUGAAAUGCGUAGAGAUCAGGAAGAACGUCGGUGGCGAAGGCGGCCUCCUGGACGGACACUGACGCUGAGGUGCGACAGCGUGGGGAGCG
rnacentral:rRNA from 1 species